rnacentral:rRNA from 5 species
ACGGGUGAGUAAUACAUCGGAACGUGCCCAGUAGUGGGGGAUAGCCCGGCGAAAGCCGGAUUAAUACCGCAUACGACCUACGGGUGAAAGCGGGGGAUCGCAAGACCUCGCGCUAUUGGAGCGGCCGAUGUCAGAUUAGCUAGUUGGUGGGGUAAAAGCCUACCAAGGCGACGAUCUGUAGCUGGUCUGAGAGGACGACCAGCCACACUGGGACUGAGACACGGCCCAGACUCCUACGGGAGGCAGCAGUGGGGAAUUUUGGACAAUGGGCGCAAGCCUGAUCCAGCCAUGCCGCGUGUGGGAAGAAGGCCUUCGGGUUGUAAACCACUUUUGUCAGGGAAGAAACGGUCUGAUCUAAUAAAUCGGACUAAUGACGGUACCUGAAGAAUAAGCACCGGCUAACUACGUGCCAGCAGCCGCGGUAAUACGUAGGGUGCAAGCGUUAAUCGGAAUUACUGGGCGUAAAGCGUGCGCAGGCGGCUAUGCAAGACAGAUGUGAAAUCCCCGGGCUCAACCUGGGAACUGCAUUUGUGACUGCAUGGCUAGAGUACGGUAGAGGGGGAUGGAAUUCCGCGUGUAGCAGU